AUUGAACGCUGGCGGCAUGCCUUACACAUGCAAGUCGAACGGUAACGCGGGGCAACCUGGCGACGAGUGGCGAACGGGUGAGUAAAGCAUCGGAACGUGCCCAGUAGUGGGGGAUAGCCCGGCGAAAGCCGGAUUAAUACCGCAUACGACCUACGGGCGAAAGAGGGGGACCGUAAGGCCACGCGCUAUUGCAGCGGACGAUGGCGGGUUAGGUAGUUGGUGGGGUAAAGGCCUACCAAGCCGACGAUCUGUAGCUGGUCUGAGAGGACGACCAGCCACACUGGGACUGAGGCACGGCCCAGACUCCUACGGGAGGCAGCAGUGGGGAAUUUUGGACAAUGGGGGCAACCCUGAUCCAGCCAUGCCGCGUGCGGGAAGAAGGCCUUCGGGUUGUAAACUGCUUUUGUCAGGGAAGAAACGCGCUGAGCUAAUACCUCGGCGUAAUGACGGUACCUGAAGAAUAAGCACCGGCUAACUACGUGCCAGCAGCCGCCGUAA
rnacentral:rRNA from 1 species